rnacentral:rRNA from 1 species
CAGAUUGAACGCUGGCGGCAGGCCUAACACAUGCAAGUCGAGCGGCAGCGGGUCUACUUCGGGAGUGCCGGCGAGCGGCGGACGGGUGAGUAAUGCCUAGCGAAUCUGCCUGGUAGUGGGGGAUAACUCGGGGAAACUCGAGCUAAUACCGCAUACGUCCUACGGGAGAAAGCGGGGGAUCUUCGGACCUCGCGCUACCAGAUGAGCCUAGGUCGGAAGAGCUAGUUGGUGAGGUAAAGGCUCACCAAGGCGACGAUCCGAGCUGGUCUGAGAGGAUGAUCAGCCACACUGGAACUGAGACACGGUCCAGACUCCUACGGGAGGCAGCAGUGGGGAAAUAUUGGACAAUGGGCGAAAGCCUGAUCCAGCCAUGCCGCGUGUGUGAAGAAGGUCUUCGGAUUGUAAAGCACUUUAAGUUGGGAGGAAGGGCAGUAAGUUAAUACCUUGCUGUUUUGACGUUACCGACAGAAUAAGCACCGGCUAACUUCGUGCCAGCAGCCGCGGUAAUACGAAGGGUGCAAGCGUUAAUCGGAAUUACUGGGCGUAAAGCGCGCGUAGGUGGUUUGAUAAGUUGGAUGUGAAAGCCCCGGGCUCAACCUGGGAAUUUAUACCAAAACUGUCUGACUAGAUGUAUGGCAGAGGGUGGUGGAAUUUCCUUGUGUAGCGGUGAAAUGCGUAGAUAUAGGAAGGAACACCAGUGGCGAAGGCGACCGCCUGGGCUAAUACUGACACUGAGGUGCGAAAGCGUGGGGAGCAAACAGGAAGAGAUACCCUGGUAGUCCACGCCGUAUUUUAUUCGACUAGCCGUUGGG